rnacentral:rRNA from 1 species
AAAGGAAUAGACGGGGGCCCGCACAACCGGUGGAACAUGUGGUUUAAUUCGAUGAUACGCGAAGAACCUUACCUGGGCUUGACAUGCUGGUAGUAGGACCCCGAAAGGGGAACGAUCCACCGUAAGGUGGAAGCCAGUACAGGUGGUGCAUGGCUGUCGUCAGCUCGUGCCGUGAGGUGUCGGGUUAAGUCCUUGAACGAGCGCAACCCUUGCCUGUAGUUACUCGCCUUUAAAGGCAGCACUCUACAGGGACUGCCGUGGUUAACACGGAGGAAGGUGGGGAUGACGUCAAGUCAGCACGCCCCUUAUGUCCAGGGCUACACACGUGUUACAAUGGUCGGUACAGAGGGAAGCGAAGCCGCAAGGUGGAGCAAAUCCCAGAAAGCCGACCCCAGUUCGGAUUGCAGGCUGCAACCUGCCUGCAUGAAGCUGGAAUCGGUAGUAAUCGCGGAUCAGCAACGCCGCGGUGAAUACGUUCUCGGGCCUUGUACACACCGCCCGU